rnacentral:rRNA from 1 species
UCCGUAGGCGGGCGUCUAAGUCAGUGGUGAAAUCUUACAGCUCGACUGUAAAAUUGCCAUUGAUACUGGAUGUCUUGAAUUAGUGUGAAGUGGUUAGAAUGUGUAGUGUAGCGGUGAAAUGCAUAGAUAUUACACAGAAUACCAAUUGCGAAGGCAGAUCACUAACACUAUAUUGACGCUGAGGGACGAAAGCGUGGGGAGCGAACAGGAUUAGAUACCCUGGUAGUCC